GCCCAUGAGGCUCAGUGGAUAGAGCAUCAGACUUCAGACUGAGGGGUCCCUGGUUCAAUUCCUAUCAAGGGCA
rfam:Myotis lucifugus cont2.53207, whole genome shotgun sequence.